CAACCUUGGCAAUGGGCAAAGAACCACCUUGUUGGUGGUGUGGUUCUUGUAUCAGUCACGGACAGAGCAGAUGGGAAUCCUAUGUUUAUCCUAGCUUUUGGCUUGGUGGCCAAAGCCGUCUUAUGCUUAGGACUCAAAA